CAGGUCCAACAGGAGAGACUGAGGAAGUUGUUGUUCAGAAUACCUGACAAUUUGACGGCCAGAAUGCUUGCCUGAGAUGCAGGAUUCUGAUAUUCAGACAUCUUGCGGGACAUAAGCUUGAAAUCUGGAUUCCCAUGUCAUCAGUGUCUUGACAACAGGUGGUCAUCUGGGAGGGGUGAGAGUUUUCCUGUUCUUCAAUGUAUUUCAAGUCUCACCGUGGGUAUGAGAACCUUUCCUAGCAAAAGGUUCAUCAAAACUGUGGAGAAGUUUGAUGCUCCUGGUGAAGAGUUCAGUGCUCCUUUUAUAGCUGAAUUAUGUGAAUUGGAAACUGAAAGGGGACAGAGAGCAUGGGACAGAAUGGGCACUAUUUUUACCACAGGGGCAUUCUUCAUAGCCCUGGCAUCACUGGCAACCUGUGAGGUUGGAAUCCAGUACUGACUUCAGGAUGCCAAGUUAGAAAUAAUUCCUGGAGUGAAAACUCAGGGAGGAGUCGGUCCACACAGCUGCCAUAAAGGCUCCAGUCAGAGGAGCUACGCUCAAUAGAUUUCAUACUUUUUUCAUAUUCUGUGAUCUUACUGAGUCCCAGCAUCUACAUGGAUAUGUUCAUUUACAGAUGUAUAGCACAUUCUAGUAAAAAAAAUGAUGGGUACAUGUUCAAAAAGAUGCACUAACUGUACACACCAGUGGCUAACACAGUAAAAGUAUUCGGACAUAAUGAACUGCUACAACCUCCUCUUUGCAGAAAAGCAGUGGCAGAGCAGUUAGUUGAAGGGCUCUAGUUUAUAGGCUUUACCAUACAAGAUUUUUCCAAAUCUCAGCACAAGUCAGUAGCAUAGAGGAGACUGAAAAGAGCAGUUGAAUCAAAUCAGAAGCUGCUGAUGCUUCAUUCCCAGAAGCAUUCAGGGCUGGGCUGGCUGGGGCCCUGAGCAGCCUGAUCUGAUGGAGGGCAAGCAGCCCACAGUAGGGGGUUGAAGCUGGAUGAUCUAUAAGAUCCUUCCAACUUAAGCCAUUCUAUGAUUUUACGAAGUACUUUGUCCUAACCACUACCUUCAUGACCCGCCACUCUGUUUCCAGCACAAAGCUCCUAACACAUUUCCCUUAGUUAAUGCAUCACAAUAUCAUUUUGAAUGAGGGAAAAUGUGCCGUUACUCAAGGCUGCACUUGAGUGAUAGCUUUGUCUAUGUUGUCUCUGUCGCCAGAAGGGCAGAACAUGGUCCUGUAGAGUCUCUGUACAAGGUAAUAACAGGGAGUUGCUUCAUCGGAGCUCUUCCCAUGAGGGACGAGGUCUAAGAUGUUUGUUUUUAGUGGAACAGACCAACAUCUCCGAAGGCGUAGUAGGCGUCAUAAUACAGUGCUUCUGAGCUCUGAACGCAAAAGGUCAGGCAGUGUUUAAUCCUGGGGGUGACCUCAAGGACCUCAAGGGAAUUUCAUCAAGGAUAUAGUUAGUUUGUAUGUUGCAAUGCUCUGUAAGAAAUGAGCCUGGCAUUUCAGAGAUAAAAUUUGAAGGCAGCACCAUUCUAGUCACCCAACAUGUUUUGUAAAUGGGAUUUCUGUGACUCUUCAACUGACUCUAAAACUGUCUGAUGUUAGAAAUUGAAACUUUCAGCCCUCAUUCAGGCAAAACUCACGCAAACAAACAAGUAGGAAUACUGCCUAGAGCAGAGUGAAAUAAAAGCUGGAGGAACUGGUGCCAUGUUAUUUGGCUCAUGCUGCAAAAUUUCAGUAAAUUUGUCACUAGCAGGCAAAAUGAGCAGUUUUGACAGCUAUUGUUAUAUUAAAUUAAAAUGACAAACAAAUGCAUUGAUUUUUAAAACUUUUGAAAGUGUGAUAAGCACAGUCCUAAUGAGAAAUACGUUUCUUUCUAUUUGACAGCACACUCACAGUUUUUCUUGUGCAUACUCUAGGUACACACACAAAAAAAUAAAAGACCUGGUUAUUUGAGGCAAAAUUCCUGAAAUAUUGUUCUCUAAAUCUCUAAGCUUCCUCUUAUUACUUUUUAUUCCCAGAAGUAUUUGAUUAUUUUAUUGCCCACAAAAACUGUAACAGUAAUAAAAAAAUGAAAUUGUCAGUGCAAAUAUGGAAUACUUGAUGUCUUAUGAAUUCAAGUAUGAAUUCAAAUUCAAGUGUUCCUUUCAACAUUAAAAAUUUUGUCCAAUCAGUAAAUGGUGCUUAUAGUA